rnacentral:rRNA from 1 species
CAGCACCUCAAGUGGUCAGGAGGAUUAUUGGGCCUAAAGCAUCCGUAGCCGGCGCUGUAAGUUUUCGGUUAAAUCUGUACGCUCAACGUACAGGCUGCCGGGAAUACUGCAGCGCUAGGGAGUGGGAGAGGUAGACGGUACUCGGUAGGAAGGGGUAAAAUCCUUUGAUCUAUUGAUGACCACCUGUGGCGAAGGCGGUCUACCAGAACACGUCCGACGGUGAGGGACGAAAGCUGGGGGAGCAAACCGGAUUAGAUACCCGUGUAGUCC